AACGUAGGGGACAAGCGUUAUCCGGAUUUACUGGGCGUAAAGCGCCCGUAGGCGGCUUUUUAAGUUGGACGUGAAAGCUCCCGGCUUAACUGGGAGAGGCCGUUCAAAACUGGAAAGCUCGAGUGAGGAAGAGGAGAGCAGAAUUCCCGGUGUAGUGGUGGAAUGCGUAGAGAUCGGGAGGAAUGCCAGUGGCGAAAGCGGCUCUCUGGUCCUAAACUGACGCUGAGGGGCGAAAGCGUGGGGAGCGAAC
rnacentral:rRNA from 1 species